GUCACAGACGGGCGGGACGGCCACUAAAGGGUCCCUGAGGGGAGGGCCCUGAGCCAGACCAGCGGACCACAGCAGCCCUUGAGGCCACUGUCUCCACCCCUCACCUCCCCACCCCGCUCCCGUGGCCUGCUUUUAGGAAGCCUCGCUCUGGGCCCCAGCAAUCCCAGCCCUCCCCAGGGCUGUCCCAGCUCUUGGCUCCAUCAGGCCUGCCCUCCACCUCACCCCCACCCCACCCUGGGCCUCUCCUGGGUAUCAGGAGGGCAGGCAAGGGUCCAGCUGGAGCAAAGCUGGACGGCCAGGAAGCCUCUCACUCCCUGCUGGCUGCAACACCAGAAAACCAUCUGGACUGAGAACCACCACGUUUAUUAGAUUCAUUCUCUCCACGCCCUCCGCCCCCACCUUCCAUCUCCCAUCUGACCCUCCCCUCAUCCCUCAGCCACCUAACACUACACCAGCUCCAGCUGGCAGCUUUUGAGUGGACUCAGGGUGCGGUUUGUGGUACGGCUGAAGGUGUCCACCUCCGGCACAAACUUCUCAGCAGGCACAGUCAGCUUCCGACGGGUGUCCAUGCACUUGGUGUCCAACAGCAUAGAGUUGGCCUUGCAGGCGAUGUCAGCCUGCAGCCUGGCCAGGUGCUUGUAGAGAGCAUCCAGAGCAUCCCUAGGGAGGAGGCACAAACAACCCCUCACUCCUGCAUGAUCCUGGGAGGCCGGGGCAGAGCUCUCUGGCCUUCAGUCAGGAAGACAUCGAGGAAGCCAGAAGGCAGCAAAAGGCCCUGUGGGUGGGCGGUGUCUCCCUCCCCCUGCUGCCCACUCCCCAAACUUACUGUGCUUGUGCCAGCUUCUGCUUCAGGGCAGCAAUGGUUGCCUCUAAUUGGUGAACCUCGUCAGUGAGGCCAUGCUGUGCCUAGAGGCAGGGGAGUGGGUUGGGAGGCCCAGAUCAGUGUACUCUCCUUGAGUUUGGGUACUGCCCUCCACCAGCACCCCUGCUCCGCCAGAAACAUGUGCUGGGGGGUGAUCCUGAGGAAGCCUUAGCAGGGACCCCGUGCCCCACUGGGGAGCCCUCGCACCUGGUCCCGGCAGAGUUCCACAUUGGGACGGUAAGUUCUGGACUCCAGUCGGGUAUGGCAGAGCUUCAGGUUCUGUAGCUUUCUGCGCAGAUCCUCCUCUAGGUGCCGGAUGUCCUCCUGCAGCUCGGCGAUCUCCUCCAAGGUCUGCAGGGACAGAGUGACCGGUCUCCACCAGCUGAACCCACCAUGGUGCACCCUGUCCUGGGCUUCCUGUGGGCUCUCAUCCCACAGCAGGACAUCCGGGCCCCAGGGACUCAACAGAGAAGGCUCACAUUCGUCUCCUGCCACCUGAGCUCACUGUAUACUUUCUCCAUCUCCCGCAGCCGCUUCCUGAAGGCAAAUUCUGUUGCAACCCUCUGGGCUUCAAGUUCAUUGUUGGUCUGAAGGACAGGGGAGGCAGGGCAAGGGGAGGGUGUAAGCUCAUGGCCAUUGAGGAAGUUGCUCAGCUGAGGUGAUGGCAUGCCACAUGGCCAACAGGAACAACUGGCCCACCAACUAGCUGUGGGAGAACAGGGUGUGGGGAGUGGCCAGGCACCUCGGCAAUAGUUAGGGCGAUGGCCUCCCUCAGCUCUACUGCUCCUUUCAUCUCAGCCUCUGCCCGGUCCUUGUUGAACUGGCUGAAGUCAUCCCACUGCUGCAGGCUGGAGGCGCUGUGGGUGGCAGGAGACACUGGGGUCAUACGAGUAUGGCCUGUGAGGUGGGGAGGAGAAACUGGGUGAAACACUUCUUACCCAUUGGGAACACGCGUGGGAUUAACCUUCAGAGAGAUGUUUGGGGACUUGAGGUUGAGAGAGAGGCAGCCUCUGUCGAUGUCCAAUGUCUCCAUUUUGUCCCGAUGGUCAGAGUUGAGCUGCUGUCGGACUUCCUGCAGGAGGCUGGGGAAGGGCCAGAUUCGAUCAGGAACCAUCCCCCUAAGGUCCCAGAACAUAGCCCCCAUUGUACUGAAGGGACAUGAGGGCUGGGCCAGCUGGGCUGACAGUGGAGCUGCUGCAGCAGAGACAUAGACCAGCACAGCUGGAGGGGCUCUCUAGGGACAAAAAUGGUGACACCCACAUGCUUGCACACACUCACGGGGACACAUGUAUGUAGCUACACCCACUGAGGCUCACACACCCACUGAGGCUCACAAGAAGGUACUUGGGGGUGGUGGAAAAUAGGCUUCAUCUCUCAUGCUCCCAAUUAGUUGGCAAUGGCUGCCUAAAGCCGGGUCACGGGAAGCAUUCUGAGACCGUGUCUCAGGUGGUGGAAGGAGUGCUAAAAUCAGCGAGUGGUUUCUGCUGGGGGCACAGCAGGGGCAGGAGGCAGCCUGAGAGCCAGUUGCUCACUACCCACAAUACAUGUUUCACACGUAAGACACACAGCCUUCAAGUGCAGGGGAACAUGGGAAUGAUACAGCUCCCUUACCAGAGCUUCUGGAAGGCCUGGCUAAUCUUUUGUUGCAAGGCCUUCUUGGUGGCAUCAAUGACCUCCACCUCUUUGUGCAGCUCUUCCUCCACAGGAUCCUUCACCACAUCAAUGUCACGCCGACUGUCCCGCAGGGUCAGGCACUCAAUUGCCACAUCCAGAGGCAGGUUCUUGGCCUGCAGGUUUUGCUCUGUUGAUUCUUUCAUCUAGAAGGGAGAGGGCACAGGACGCUAGUGGGGCCAUCCACUGGGAAGCAGCACUCAUCCCCACUUUAGCAGAGGGGCCAGUGGGUGACUCAGAUGGACAUGCUGCCCAAUACUCCCAUAACUUUGGGUGCAUGGAUCCCAAAGUGAGGAGGGUGGGGAGGUCUUUGCAGCAGGGUCCCUGGCUCCCUGCCUGUGUUAGGGCGUCAAUCUCAGCAUCUAAAUCUGUCAGACACUUGUCCAGCGUCUCCUUCCAACGGUUGACCGUAUCAAUCCUCUCUGCCAGUCGAGUCCUAUUGUCAUGUUCAUCCCAAAUGGUCUGGAAGAGACAAAGAUAAAGAGGGUGUGGGAUUGGGGCUCUCCCCAUUGCCCAUCCAACUAGGCUCUGGCCUCCAACCUGGUUGUUGGUCUCAUUGCGGAGGACCCGGGCCUCUUGGCGGAUCUGGUGCGAAGCAUCUCGCUGCCGCUCAGCAUUGGUGGACAACAGGCGGCUGUUGGUGUGCCAGUCCGGCAACUGGAAGCGUUGACUGGGCUUGACGCUUAGCGUGGCCAUGGUGCUGGGAUUGAAGGGUCAGAACACCCCAGGACUGUUCCAAUCACCCACCUCUGCUGGAGAGGGAAAAUGAGGCUGCAGGAGACCACUCAGGGGAUCCUGUUCUGGAAUAAAAGCCCAAAGAACA